UGCAAGUCGAACGGGCCUUCGGGCUAGUGGCGGACGGGUGAGUAACGCGUGAGAAUCUGCCCUCAGGAGGGGGAUAACAGCUGGAAACGGCUGCUAAUACCCCAUAUGCCGAGAGGUGAAACGAAUUUCGCCUGAGGAUGAGCUCGCGUCUGAUUAGCUAGUUGGUGGGGUAAGGGCCCACCAAGGCAUCGAUCAGUAGCUGGUCUGAGAGGAUGAUCAGCCACACUGGGACUGAGACACGGCCCAGACUCCUACGGGAGGCAGCAGUGGGGAAUUUCCCGCAAUGGGCGCAAGCCUGACGGAGCAACGCCGCGUGAGGGACGAAGGCCUCUGGGCUGUAAACCUCUUUUCUCAAGGAAGAAGACAUGACGGUACUUGAGGAAUAAGCCACGGCUAAUUCCGUGCCAGCAGCCGCGGUAAUACGGGAGUGGCAAGCGUUAUCCGGAAUUAUUGGGCGUAAAGCGUCCGCAGGCGGCCCAAAAAGUCUGUUGUUAAAAGUGGAGCUCACUCCAUCCAGCCAAUGGAACUACUGGCCUAAAGUGUGGUAGGGCAAAGGGAAUUCCCGGUGUAGCGGUGAAAUGCCUAAAUAUCGGGAAGA
rnacentral:rRNA from 1 species